rnacentral:rRNA from 1 species
GUCCCGAAAGGGACGCUAAUACCGCAUAAUAUGCUGUCUUUUAAGAGAGAGACAUCAAAGCCGGGGACCGCAAGGCCUGGCGCUUGAAGAGGGGCCCGCGCCUGAUUAGCUAGUUGUGGGUAAUGGCUCACCAAGGCAACGAUCAGUAUCCGGCCUGAGAGGGCGACGGACACACUGGGACUGAGACACGGCCCAGACUCCUACGGGAGGCAGCAGUGGGGAAUUGUUCGCAAUGGGCGCAAGCCUGACGACGCAACGCCGCGUGGAGGAUGAAGAUCUUCGGUCGUAAACUCCUUUCGAUCGAGACGAAUUGGCCCUUGGGAUAAUACCCUGAGGGAGUGACGGUACCGAGAGAAGAAGCCCCGGCUAACUCCGUG